GCCGCCACCCACCUCCACCACCCACCCCUCUCCUCGCCGCCACCCACCUCCCCUCCCCACCCCAGAUCCUCUCCCCACUCCCAGAUCCAACUUGCCACCGUAGAACGAGGAGAUCGCGACCAAGAUCUUCGGGACGCGGUUGUCGUCGUCGCGGACCGCUCCUCCGCUGACCCGCGCAAGUUCCCCGGUGCUAAGGUACCUCGAGGAGUUCGCGCGGCGGUUCGACCCCCUCGGGCUGGUCCGGUUCGGGACGGAGGUGGUGAGCGUCCACCGCAGCAGGGACGACGACGCGGGCUGGAGGGUGAGGCUCGCCUGCGCUGGCAGCGAGCUGGAGGAGGAAGUUUGACGCCGUGGUCGUCUGUAGUGGGCACUUCGCCGAGCCGUGUGUGGCCGCCAUCACAGGUUAGUGAGCAGCAUCAGGAGGACGAGCUUCCUCACUCCGCCCCGGAUCUGCGGCUGCCCCCCGCUGGCCAUGGACUCCGCCCUAGGGUUUCUGCCGCCGCCGCCGGAGAGGGGAGGGGAGGAGUGUAGAAGGACCAGAGCGAGAUGGCCGGACGGCUCCUCGGGCAGCUCCUCGUCAUGGGCAGCGCCGUUGUCGGCAGGGCCGUGGUGCAGGCCUACCGCCAGACCAUCGUCAGAUAUGCAGGGAGGUCGGCCCUUGUCCAGGGGAAGAUGAGCACCAUGACGGUGAAAGACAACCUCUUGGCGGCUGGUGGUUUCCAUGGGGAGCUGAUCUGCAAUGUAUCCCACCGCUGACCCAUAUCCAGAUCAGCUGCGUCGCCGGUUCUGCCAUCUCCGACCGCACUCCCCCGUCUGCGCCGUCGAGCCGAGCCUGCUCACCUCCUUCUUGAUGGUCGCGCGCCGGGAGAGCCCUCUACCGGUAGCGACGCAGCCGUGUCUGGUGCCGUACAAGGGAUGCCGGCGCAGGAUGCUGUCGUCGUCCGUUCCUAACGCCGCUGAGUUGAGCUGCAGGUGUUCCUUGAUGCUACAUAUGUCAGUUUCUUUUGGUAAACUUGAAACUGACAUCAAAAUCAAUUCCUUUAUAGAGUGCGUUGCUUGUAUCUAUGUAGCGACCAUACCUUAAACAGUUUGAUCUACCGUGCACCAGUGUCAUCCCUGGAUCAGUAAUGCUGACACGCACAGUACUUGGAGGAUUUAUAACAGAGUACCAAUCACACACUUAUUACAUCGAGUACCUCA